rnacentral:rRNA from 1 species
AGAGACGAAACAGUGAUGUGGAGUAAAACUUAUAAAAGCGACCUCAGUUCGGAUUGAAGGCUGAAAUUCGCCUUCAUGAAGUCGGAAUUGCUAGUAAUGGCAGGUCAGCAUACUGCCGUGAAUACGUUCCCGGGCCUUGUACACACCGCCCGUCACACCAUGAGAGUUGGGAAUACCCGAAGCCUGUGAGCUAACUUUUAAGAGGCAGCAGUCGAAGGUAGAAUCAAUGAUUGGGGUGAAGUCGUAACAAGGUACC